UACGUAGGGUGCAAGCGUUAAUCGGAAUUACUGGGCGUAAAGCGUGCGCAGGCGGUUAUGCAAGACAGAUGUGAAAUCCCCGGGCUCAACCCGGGAACUGCGUCCGAUACUGGCAGGCUUGAAUCCGGGAGAGGGAUGCGGAAUUCCAGGUGUAGCGGUGAAAUGCGUAGAUAUCUGGAGGAACACCGGUGGCGAAGGCGGCAUCCUGGACCGGUAUUGACGCUGAGGCGCGAAAGCCAGGGGAGCAAACGGG
rnacentral:rRNA from 1 species